rnacentral:rRNA from 1 species
UACGGAGGGUGCGAGCGUUGUCCGGAAUCACUGGGCGUAAAGGGCGCGUAGGCGGCCCGGCAAGUCAGUGGUGAAAGCCCGAGGCUCAACUUCGGGUCGGCCACUGAUACUGCGGGGCUCGAGUCGACUAGAGGCAGAUGGAAUUCCGGGUGUAGCGGUGGAAUGCGUAGAGAUCGGGAGGAACACCCGUGGCGAAGGCGGCCAACUGGGCCGACCCUGACGCUGAGGCGCGAAGGCGUGGGGAGCGAACGGG